UUUACAGAUGUUAUCAGAUGUUAUCGCGGGCCACCAGAAAUGUUUCCGCGGGCCGCACUUUGAGAACCUAUGCUUUAGACCCUCUCCAUUCUCCAUCAAUUAUUGGAAUAAUUUUUUGUCAGUUCAUUGCUUAAUCUUUGUAAGCUUUUGUCAGUUCAUUGCUUAAUUUCCCCCUAGUUCUGUGAUGUGUGCCUUCUUCUGUUUCGCUCACUGUGCCUUGUUCCUGUUUUUUUUGUUGCUAAUGGUAACAGUGGCCAGAGCCUACAAAUGCCACAAAUGCCAUAAAGGCAAAUGCUACAAGCCUGGAGAACUUCAACCGAACACAUCUAACAAGUAUUCACUCCAGUAUCAGGAAACACUAGGUACUUCUUUGAGGUAUUGAUACAUAUUGGUAAGUUGCAUUAUUUUUGAUGUACUUGAUAACAAAGAAAAUUAAAUAAUGUAGUUUUCUGUUUUUAAUACAGCUAAUAUGGAAGGGGAGUGGCUCGGGUUUGUUGGACCAUGGUUUCGUUACUUCCUCUUCUCUAUCUUUCUUCUUGAUUUGCUGUUGAUCUAUCUGAACACCUACCUGUAUAGGGAUCUGAGAGAACGAUCAAGGGCAUAUAUGACAUACAUGAGAUCUACAGUUGUGACAAACAUCAAGUCUCAGGAGGAGUCUGAGGAUAUUUAUGAAGAUGCUGAAGAUGCAUUUUGAAAAUGUUCUGCUUGAUAAAUCCGACAAAGCAAAAUGACUGCAGGUAUUAAUUUGCUUAAAGAGCAAAAAAAGAUUUGCAGUAAACAUCGCUUGACUCUUGUCAGAGUCCUGAGGUUAACAUUUUUAAGAAAUGUUAUCUGCAUGGAAUAUUGCACUAUAUAGGAACUAGAAUAUCAAUUGCUUCAUGCAAUCUCACGUCCUAUGGAAACACACUGAUAUGUGUUCAAUAAAUUACAUUUGAACUUGUGUCUUAGGAUUGCGUAUUAUAAAUUGCAGUCUUUGAUCAUCAUGUGGACCUCUGUAGUGUGCCCUCACCACAGCCACCACAUCUUGACUGUGGGUGACUUCUUGGGUGGGUCUGUAUUAUACAUGCAUUUAAUGCAAGACUCAAGCAUUAUACCCUAUCUACCCAUUUAAUUCUAAACCUUGAUGUAAGGAUUUCAUUAUCUUGAUUAGAAAAAUGGAAGACAAGUUCACGAUUUGGGGUAUGUCUGAAAUGACGUCUAAAUUGUGAUGUGAAUAA